UAAAAGAAUGAGAGGCAUGUUAGAG
rnacentral:piRNA from 1 species